rnacentral:rRNA from 1 species
AUACGUAGGUGGCGAGCGUUAUCCGGAUUUACUGGGCGUAAAGCGCGCGUAGGCGGCUAAUUAAGUCAAAUGUGAAAUCCCCGAGCUUAACUUGGGAAUUGCAUUCGAUACUGGUUAGCUAGAGUGUGGGAGAGGAUGGUAGAAUUCCAGGUGUAGCGGUGAAAUGCGUAGAGAUCUGGAGGAAUACCGAUGGCGAAGGCAGCCAUCUGGCCUAACACUGACGCUGAGGUGCGAAAGCAUGGGGAGUAAACAGGAUUAGAAACCCCAGUAGUCC